UAGCAUGAACACUGUAGUUGAAAGAUUUCGGAUCAUUCAGCCACGUGUGCUGGCGACUGAAUCAGAGGAUAACUUGUUUCAAGCUGCACUGCAAUUUCAGCAUUAUUACCAAGAUGACAUAUCUUCCGAUUUCGCAGGGCAAUUGGUUAGUUUUCGGAGCGCACUGCAAAAUGAGAUCUCUGAGCUCCACACAGUUAAAGAUUUGGCACACCUGCUUAUAAUUGACAAUGCUGCUUUGUCAUCUACCCUACCGGAUGUAUGUACAGCUUUAAUACUUUUCCUCACAUUACCAGUGACGGUGGCAUCUGCAGAAAGAUCAUUUUCCAAAUUAUCUCUGAUUAAAAAUUACUUGAGAAACAGCAUGUCACAACAACGGCUUUCUGGCCUUGCCCUUCUAAGCAUUGAGAAUGAAAGAGCAAGAAAACUGGACAUUCCAGCUAUUGUUGACAAAUUUGCUGAGUCUAAAGCGAGACGGCGCAACUUCUAGUAAUAUGUAUUUUGCGUAAGUGAGCAGUUUGUUGGGUACAGGGAGUUAUAUUAUCAAAGUUCAUACUAACCCAGUUCAAUUUAUUCAACUUUGGUUGUACUAAACAGUUAACUAGUUUGGUUCUAUUUUAGCUGCCUUCUUUUUGGUAACAAUGAUGCAGAUUAAUAAACAAUUCUGAUGUUGUUAGACUCUAAAACACAACGACCGCCUUUGAACUAUUUGAAUACAGCACUGGUUUCUGCACAACAAAAGCUUAAUAUCAAAAAGAAGGCAGAUGUUACCAACAUCAAAAAUACUUAACAUAAUUACUAAAUGCUACCAUCUCCUUUCCUACAGUGAGAACAAAUUGGUUCCUUUCUACUUGAUGCCUCCUCGUUGGACCUGGCUGGUUAAUUUUGAUGUUUCAUUUGGAUUUCUGUUCUGGUUGAGAAGCACAACUCGUGCUUAUUCACAAUCAAAUUUUGUGAGAACAAAUUGGUUCCUUUCUACUUGAUGCCUCCUCGUUGGACCUGGCUGGUUAAUUUUGAUGUUUCAUUUGGAUUUCUGUUCUGGUUGAGAAGCACAACUCGUGCUUAUUCACAAUCAAAUUUUGUGAGAACAAAUUGGUUCCUUUCUACUUGAUGCCUCCUCGUUGGACCUGGCUGGUUAAUUUUGAUGUUUCAUUUGGAUUUCUGUUCUGGUUAAGAAGCACAACUCGUGCUUAUUCACAAUCAAAUUUUGUGAGAACAAAUUGGUUCCUUUCUACUUGAUGCCUCCUCGUUGGACCUGGCUGGUUAAUUUUGAUGUUUCAUUUGGAUUUCUGUUCUGGUUAAGAAGCAUGACUCGUUCCUUUUCACAUUCAAAUUUUGUGAGAACAAAUUGGUUCCUUUCUACUUGAUGCCUC